GAGAGCUAACAGCAGAUUGUUUAGGACACUCUGUAGAGACUAUGAAAGCCAAAAAUAUUUCCUGUAUUUACAGGUUUGGGCAAACCUACUGUAAAUUCAUUGAGAGUUAUAGUACAGAGCUCUUUCAUUUUGUCCUUAAAUAGUUUUUUACCUUUUCAAAAAGAAAGAAUCAUAGAGUAGAAUGUUACAGGUGAGUUACUCUGCAUUAUUGUUUGUAACUAAGGGUCCCAUAUUUCGACUGUUAAAAUUUUCUUUUCAGACAGUGUUUGAGAAAAAAUGAGGGUCUGGAUGCUGUGAACUGGACCUUUUAGAUCCACUCCCAGAUCAGGAUCACCUUAUUGGAAAGUCAUACCUAGCAGUAUUUGGUCUUCGGCAGGAGAUCAAGGCAGCUCAUUCCCAUGAGGUUUCUACUUGGGUACGCAUAGCCAGAACUAUGUUUGAGAGAUGGAGCACGCAUCUUUUGCAUCUGGCUUUCAUAGAUACACUACAUAAAUGCCACUGGAACACUGUGGAGCAAAAUGAAUAGGGUUGGUGACAUUAUACAGAGAGACUGCUUGCCUUGAGAGAGGAACCUAAAAAUGCUCGAGAGG